GACGAACGCUGGCGGCGUGCCUAAUACAUGCAAGUUGAGCGAUGAAGAUUGGUGCUUGCACCAAUUUGAAGAGCAGCGAACGGGUGAGUAACGCGUGGGGAAUCUGCCUUUGAGCGGGGGACAACAUUUGGAAACGAAUGCUAAUACCGCAUAACAACUUUAAACAUAAGUUUUAAGUUUGAAAGAUGCAAUUGCAUCACUCAAAGAUGAUCCCGCGUUGUAUUAGCUAGUUGGUGAGGUAAAGGCCCACCAAGGCGAUGAUACAUAGCCGACCUGAGAGGGUGAUCGGCGACAUUGGGAGUGAGACACGGCCCAAACUCCUACGGGAGGCAGCAGUCGGGAAUCUUCGGCAAUGGACGAAAGUCUGACCGAGCGACGCCGCGUGAGUGAAGACGGUUUUCGGAUCGUAAAACUCUGUUGGUAGUGAAGAACGUUGGUGAGAGUGGAAAGCUCAUCAAGUGACGGUAACUACCCAGAAAGGGACGGCUAACUACGU
rnacentral:rRNA from 1 species